CUCUGAGGUAUAAAAAAACGAUACAAAAGAAACAAAACCUCAAGUGCUGGCGUGCGGGAAGGGCUGCUGUUAUAAAUUGGCAAGGAUGCUGGCAACCCGUGAUGCGGGAGGGCUCCUGUGCUGUCAAUGAUAACAAACGUGGGAGAAGCCAUUCAGUGAGGCACACCGGCUGCUGAGCAGAGAAGCAAAGCCGUGCCAGCCUUCUCAAGCUGGCAGCCAUCCAAGAUGUUCCAAGUGUGUGUGUGAGUCUCUGCACAGACAGCGCUGGGGAGGAUGGUUGUUAUCCAGUCGAACACUCCAAGAGCUGCCAGACGAAACCAUCGGUGCAUGGCACAUGGGUUCCUCCCCUCGUGUGCUGCGCGGGCUAUUUGGAGUCAACGACGACAUUCAUUCUACCAGUUUAACCAUCUAGAAAGGCCUCAUUUGUUUGUAUUGCACACGUGUUCUAUUUUCUGUGU